rfam:Gorilla gorilla gorilla genomic chromosome, chr1, whole genome shotgun sequence
GCUGGGUGUGGUGUCACAUGCCUGUAGUCCCAGCUACUUGGGAGGCUGAGGCAUAAGGAUUGCUUGAGCCCAGGAGUUCAAGGGUGUAGUGAGCUAUGAUCAAGCCACUACGCUUCAGCCUGGGUGACAGAGCAAGAUCAUGUCUCUU